rnacentral:lncRNA from 1 species
AUCCAUAAACACAUGCACGUACGUACGCGGUACGCCGUUAAUCAGGAGCGAAGCAUGUAUAUAUUAGUGUCAUGCGUGCGUAACAUCUCGAGUGAAUAGAACUAUUGCACGUACGCGGGAUUGGCCUGGCCGGCCGGCCCGCACGGUCAAAAAUAAUGACAAGGACGACCAGCGUUGCUGCACCUAGCUAGUCAAGAUCUGACCACACAAAGUUAACCACCACUGCAUGCCAGAGGCAUCUUUUCACAUGAGAAAGUGUAGUGGUAUAGUAAAAGGGCAAAAAGGAAAAAGAAAAAUCUCUGUCUGCAGGUACACACAUAUAUUAGGUCACCUAUCAGGCAGCUAUAGUCGUACCGUCCAUGUUUCG